CUCAGAAACAGUAUUCUGAAAGAACUGAGUGCCAGCCUUCACAAUGCAGUGUGUAUAUUAAGUCAGAGAUUCCUAUGUGGUGUUGUAUAUCCAAAAGAAAGAACAUAUGGGACCAAGAACCAAGGAAGAGAAGCUGGGUGGCCUCACUUACCAUUACACGUGAUGAUCCAUUGAUCUGCUUCUCCUCCCUGCAACUAUCUGUUCUCUAGGCAGGUGUCCACAAAGAGAAUGCACCUUUGCCAGAGGACCCAGAAAAAGUUCCAUAGACCUGCAAGCUGCCCUCAGGGCAUCUGGGACAUCUUCUGUUCAAGGACCAGCAGCUGAAAACUGAUGCUAAAAUUGAAAGGAUAAGGACAGCUACUCAAAGCGUUCCCAUCUUGUAAAAACCUUGACCAUGCUUCACUUGUGACAUCACCUGGUCUUCAAGUACUCUCUGAUGUAAUUCAAUUAAUAAAGCCUUUAACCUCUCUGUGAGUCACUUUUCAAAAAA